rnacentral:rRNA from 1 species
GUUGGGGGCAUUAGUACUUAACUGUCAGNNNGUGGAAUUCUCAGAUUUGUUAAAGACUGACUUAUGCGAAAGCAUUUGCCAAGGAUGUUUUCAUCGAUCAAGAACGAAAGU